CCAGAUUUCCAACGUAACAAACGUAGCGUUCGUGCAGCAUUAGACACAAUGCUUAAGGUCGUAUUCCUGCUGUUCUGCUUGGCUGUUAAUCAUUACUGCCAACAAGGGUCAUCGCCAUGGUGUUCGUCCCAGGUACAAGUUCAACUAUAGAGUAGUGAGCACCAAAACCGGAGACAACAAAGGCCACUGGGAACACCGGGAUGGCGAUCGAGUUGUGGGAGCCUACAUGCUGCGAGAACCGGACGGUACUCAUCGCGAAGUGAAGUACCGAUCGGCAAAAGGCAUCGGAUUCCAAGCUCACGUUAAUCGCAAGGGACAUGCCAAACAUCCACAUCACGGCAAGAGCUAUGCAAACAUUCGUCAAUUGUACUGAUCAAAAUAUAUUGACAUGAGUA